rnacentral:lncRNA from 1 species
AAGAAUUUCAUCACAAUACAAUGCAUUGUGCCGAAGCCCCUUCAUCUUAUUUAAGAAGCUAGUUGUAACUUAAGUAAACAGUCAUGGAUGAAAUUAAUCAAACAUAUACAAAAACAAAAACACUAGUGAACUUCAAGUCUGUUAGGCCACAAGUGCGUUUCACAUAUGCAAGGCGCAAGGGUAAUUCCGGAAAUACCAAUCGUGGCUGACGUGUUAUCAAGUAGUAUAGAGAGAAGAGUUUGUUAUGCAUUUCUGUUAGUGAUAAGUUGAUGGUAUUCUGUUUUGAUAAUUUGUUAGAGUUUUCUGUUAUUCUAUUUGGGCGUAGAAGUGAGGAGGUCAUAUGGAGAGGAGCUGUUUUUUGGGAAGGGGAUCGAGAGAAUUAUUUUGUAGUGAGCUUGCUCAUUUUGGGAGAGAUACCAAGCCUCUCGAAUGCUUGGGUGUUUUGGUUUAUUUCUGCAGAUAAAUACCAGUUUUCCUACUUCCAACAACAUUCUGCUCUCUACUGUGUUGUUUAUCUAACCAUUUCAGUUCAGGGCCUAUCAAAGUCCCAUAGAUAUGGUUCUUUUUACUUCGUAUAAGAAAUUGACCAAAAAUUAAGAAUGAUAAAAAUACAAAACAUAAUGCAAAUCCACAUGUCAUCUAGAGCAAGAGCUCUGUGAGAUAUCAAUGUUACAAAGGCUGAGCCAGACUAUAUAUCCCAAAACAGAAAACAAAUCCAUAAAACACAAGAAUUGCAGCUAAACCAAGACUAAAAACAUGUUAUUCUGUUUUAAGAUUCAUUACUCAGCAAGCAUCCUGCCUAACAGAAUGCCAAGGGCUAAUGAAAUAGUAAUUUAACUCUUAGAAUUUUGUAAUGAAGUGGCUCCUCUAAUGACUAUUGAUUAUUUUUCCUUCCUAUAUUUUCACAGAAGAUAAUCAAAAUUUACAUUUACUACUGGAUGUAAAAAAUGAUUAUCAAAAAAGCAUAUAAAAAAUGCCAUCUUGAGAACUCACCUAGCAUGUGCAAGAAACAUAUACCCAGAAUACUUCAAAUUUCCCUUAAAGUGUUACACGCUUAUAGUGGAGACCUUUUUUCUUCUCUCUUUACAAAUAAAGGUUCAUUUUUUAGUUAAAUUGGGUAAAAAUGUAUUUACUUUAAGAGGAAUGAAUUUAAGAUGUUUGCACAAGCAUCUAAAUUCCUUUAGAAACCUAUAUUUUGUCGAUAAUAAACCACCACAGGCAAGAGAUAUUAGUGACCAAAAUAAAACAACAUAUAUGUAUAAUUUGUAGGGGGUAAUCAAAUGGCCUCGUUCAUCACCUUGUUUUUCACCUUCUUGAAAUCCAAAACACGGAGAGAUUUCAGCUUGUGAAUCACAUACAACCGAUAAUUGGGCUUUUUGGUGAUGCUAUUGUCCAAUAAACUAAGGAACUGCAACUUUGGAAGGGAUGUUAGAGGAUCAAUCUCCACUAGAUUGACAAGCCUGUUGUUUGUCAAAACCAAAGUGUGUAAUUUUGGCAAGAACUCUGCAAAAGAAAGCAAUAUAAAUAUAAAUAUAGUGUACUUCUCAAAGAACAGUACAAGAAAAAAAAUGAAGCAUUCUAAAAUAUUUACCUACCUCCAAUGUUGGGAUUAAUACGAGUAAUUCUAUUGUUAUUUAUAAUCAAAGUGCCCAAACGAUUAAGAUGGGGCAUGUUCUCAAGCUUGACAAUCUCAUUGUCCGACAAAUCAAUGGUAUCAAAUUGAUCCUGCCAAAAAUCCAUAGUAAAGGGUAAGAAUUGUUAAAUUGCACUUAUUUGGACGUAGAAGUGAGGAGGUUAUAGAGAGGGGAGCUGUCUUUUGGGAGGAGGGGGGAGAGAAUUAUUUUGUAGUGAGCUUGCUCAUUUUGGGAGAGAUACCAAGCCUCUCGAAUGCUUGGGUGUUUUGGUUUAUUUCUGCAGACAAAUACCAGUUUUCCUACUUCCAACAACAUUCUGCUCUCUACUGUGUUGUUUAUCUAACCAUUUCAGUUCAGGGCCUAUCAAAGUCCCAUAGAUAUGGUUCUUUUUACUUCGUAUAAGAAAUUGACCAAAAAUUAAGAAUGAUAAAAAUACAAAACAUAAUGCAAAUCCACAUGUCAUCUAGAGCAAGAGCUCUGUGAGAUAUCAAUGUUACAAAGGCUGAGCCAGACUAUAUAUCCCAAAACAGAAAACAAAUCCAUAAAACACAAGAAUUGCAGCUAAACCAAGACUAAAAACAUGUUAUUCUGUUUUAAGAUUCAUUACUCAGCAAGCAUCCUGCCUAACAGAAUGCCAAGGGCUAAUGAAAUAGUAAUUUAACUCUUAGAAUUUUGUAAUGAAGUGGCUCCUCUAAUGACUAUUGAUUAUUUUUCCUUCCUAUAUUUUCACAGAAGAUAAUCAAAAUUUACAUUUACUACUGGAUGUAAAAAAUGAUUAUCAAAAAAGCAUAUAAAAAAUGCCAUCUUGAGAACUCACCUAGCAUGUGCAAGAAACAUAUACCCAGAAUACUUCAAAUUUCCCUUAAAGUGUUACACGCUUAUAGUGGAGACCUUUUUUCUUCUCUCUUUACAAAUAAAGGUUCAUUUUUUAGUUAAAUUGGGUAAAAAUGUAUUUACUUUAAGAGGAAUGAAUUUAAGAUGUUUGCACAAGCAUCUAAAUUCCUUUAGAAACCUAUAUUUUGUCGAUAAUAAAC